rnacentral:rRNA from 1 species
CCUACGGGGGGCAGCAGUUAGGAAUUUUGGGCAAUGGCCGCAAGGCUGACCCAGCAACGCCGCGUGCGGGACGAAGGCCUUCGGGUUGUAAACCGCUUUUCCGGGGGACGAUGAUGACGGUACCCCGGGAAGAAGCCCCGGCUAACUACGUGCCAGCAGCCGCGGUAAUACGUAGGGGGCGAGCGUUGUCCGGAUUUAUUGGGCGUAAAGCGCGCGCAGGCGGCGCCGCAAGUCGGCCGUGAAAUCUCCCAGCUCAACUGGGAGGGGUCGGGCGAGACUGCGGGGCUCGAGGCGGGCAGAGGGCAGUGGAAUUCCGGGUGUAGUGGUGGAAUGCGUAGAGAUCCGGAGGAACACCAGUGGCGAAGGCGGCUGCCUGGGCCUGGCCUGACGCUGAGGCGCGAAAGCGUGGGGAGCGAUCCGGAUUAGAUACCCUGGUAGUC